rnacentral:rRNA from 1 species
UGAGGAAUAUUGGGCAAUGCCCGCAAGGGUGACCCAGCAACGCCGCGUGGAGGAUGAAUGUCGUAAGAUUGUAAACUCCUGUUAGAGGGGAAGAAUAGUACCGGUUGGACCGGUAUAUGACUGUACCCUCAGAGAAAGCCCCGGCUAACUACGUGCCAGCAGCCGCGGUAAUACGUAGGGGGCAAGCGUUGUCCGGAUUUACUGGGUGUAAAGGGCGCGCAGGCGGGAUAAAAAGUCAGUGGUGAAAUCCUACAGCUUAACUGUAGAACUGCCUUUGAUACUUUUAUUCUUGAGUUCGGGAGAGAGAGACGGAAUUCCAGGUGUAGUGGUGAAAUACGUAGAUAUCUGGAAGAACACCAGUUGCGAAGGCGGUCUCUUGGUCCGACACUGACGCUGAGGCGCGAAAGCGUGGGGAGCAACCA